GAUGAAGAACGUAGCGAAAUGCGAUACUUGGUGUGAAUUGCAGAAUCCCGUGAACCAUCGAGUCUUUGAACGCAAGUUGCGCCCGAAGCCAUUAGGCCGAGGGCACGCCUGCCUGGGCGUCACACGUCGUUGCCCCCCCAUCUACUCCUUCGGGAUUGCGGGGGGCGGAUGAUGGCCUCCCGUGCGCCUCGUCGCGCGGUUGGCAUAAAUGCCAAGUCCUCGGCGACGCACGCCACGACAAUCGGUGGUUGCGAAACCUCGGUUGCCCGUCGUGUGCGGUCGUCGCGCAUCGAGGGCUCGAAAAAAUUGCCGGGCUCCGGCUCGGAUUUCAACGCGACCCCAGGUCAGGCGGGGUUACCCGCUGAAUUUAAGCAUAUCAAUAAGCGGAGGA
rnacentral:misc_RNA from 1 species